GACGAACGCUGGCGGCGUGCUUAACACAUGCAAGUGGAGCGACGAACCAGGCUUCGGCCUGGGGCAGAGCCGCGAACGGGUGAGUAACACGUGGGUAACCUGCCUCGAUGACCGGGACAACCCGGGGAAACCCGGGCUAAUACCGGAUGUGCUGCCUUCACAUCAGUGGGGACAGGAAAGGAGCUUCGGCCUCCGCAUCGAGAUGGGCCCGNGGCCCAUUAGCUUGUUGGUGAGGUAAGGCUCACCAAGGCCGCGAUGGGUAGCUGGUCUGAGAGGACGAUCAGCCACACUGGGACUGAGACACGGCCCAGACUCCUACGGGAGGCAGCAGUGGGGAAUCUUGCGCAAUGCGCGAAAGCGUGACGCAGCAACGCCGCGUGGGGGAAGAAGGCCU
rnacentral:rRNA from 1 species